rnacentral:rRNA from 1 species
AUGGCUCAGAACGAACGCUGGUGGCGUGUCUUAUACAUGCAAGUCGAGCGGUGCAGCAAUGCAUAGCGGCGAACGGGUGAGUAACGCGUAAGCAAUCUGCCCCCUGUUCGGGAAUAGCCGUGCCAACGCGCGGGCAAUACCGGAUAUAGUGGCCCUGGACAUCCGGGGUUGACAAAAGAUUUAUCGACAGGGGAUGAGCUUGCGUCCGAUUAGCUAGUUGGCGGGGCAACGGCCCACCAAGGCGACGAUCGGUAGCCGGCCUGAGAGGGUGAUCGGCCACAUUGGGACUGAGAUACGGCCCAGACUCCUACGGGAGGCAGCAGUAGGGAAUAUUGCACAAUGGGGGAAGCCCUGAUGCAGCAACGCCACGCGUGGGAAGAAGCAUUUCGGUGUGUAAACCACUGUCGUGAGGGAAUAAGGCUGAGUUUCGGCUCAGUUGAAUGUACCUCGAGAGGAAGCACCGGCAAACUUCGUGCCAGCCGCGGC